rnacentral:rRNA from 1 species
UACGAAGGGGGCUAGCGUUGCUCGGAAUCACUGGGCGUAAAGCGCACGUAGGCGGAUUGUUAAGUCAGGGGUGAAAUCCUGGAGCUCAACUCCAGAACUGCCUUUGAUACUGGCGAUCUCGAGUCCGGGAGAGGUGAGUGGAACUGCGAGUGUAGAGGUGAAAUUCGUAGAUAUUCGCAAGAACACCAGUGGCGAAGGCGGCUCACUGGCCCGGUACUGACGCUGAGGUGCGAAGGCGUGGGGAGCAAGCAGG